GACGAACGCUGGCGGCGUGCCUAAUACAUGCAAGUCGAACGAGUUGCGAACGGGUGAGUAACGCGUGGUAACCUCCCGCAUAGCGGGGGUUAACUAUUGGAAACGAUAGCUAAUACCGCAUACUGUGCGAUUGACCUUCGUUGUAUUAGCUAGUUGGUGAGGUAAAGGCUCACCAAGGCGACGAUACAUAGCCGACCUGAGAGGGUGAUCGGCCACACUGGAACUGAGACACGGUCCAGACUCCUACGGGAGGCAGCAGUGGGGAAUAUUGCACAAUGGGCGCAAGCCUGAUGCAGCCAUGCCGCGUGUAUGAAGAAGGCCUUCGGGUUGUAAAGUACUUUCAGCGGGGAGGCGUUACCCGCAGAAGAAGCACCGGCUAACUCCGUGCCAGCAGCCGCGGUAAUAC
rnacentral:rRNA from 1 species